rnacentral:rRNA from 1 species
UACGUAGGGUGCGAGCGUUGUCCGGAAUUAUUGGGCGUAAAGGGCUCGUAGGCGGUUUGUCGCGUCGGGAGUGAAAACCUUGGGCUUAACUCAGGGCUUGCUUUCGAUACGGGCAGACUAGAGGUAUGCAGGGGAGAACGGAAUUCCUGGUGUAGCGGUGAAAUGCGCAGAUAUCAGGAGGAACACCAGUGGCGAAGGCGGCUUCCUGGACACCAACUGACGCUGAGACGCGAAAGCGUGGGGAGCAAACAGG